CUUCUCGGCUCCUAUCUGUGAUUCUAAGAAGAUUUAAUCAGCUUCCUGGUAAUUUCCGAGUCAGGCAGGUGUUAGGGAGAGCCCUACCUUCCACCCAGGAUGCCCAGAUCGGGAGGAUCCAGGUCGGGAAGGUCUGGAGGACAUUUGGACACAGACACAGGCCAUGUGAGCAUGAAGGCAGAGACUGAGAGAUGCAUCUAGAAGCCAAGGAACGUGGAAGAUGGCCAGCAAACUGCCAGACACAGAGGGAGAGGCCUGGAGCAGUCUCCCUUAUAGCCCCAGGAGGAACCAACCCUGCUUGCACGUUGCUGUUGGACUUCUGGCCUCCAGAACUGGGAGACAACACGUUUUGGUGGCUUAAGCCACCAGCGAUAUUCAUGCAGCCCCUGUGGAGGUCGAGGGAUUUGUUCCAGAGCUCUGGGCAAGGCAUUUUGCUUUUUGAGGCUUCCUAGCCUGUAAAGUGGGGAGUGGCAGCUGUCUGCAGCUGUCAAGAUCAAAUGAAAUAAAGAAGUCUGAAGAGAAGGGAAGGGCGGGAAUUGGAGGCGGAGACGCUGACCUCCAUUUCUGCCCUGCUUCUGCC